CAACGUGCCCUGAAGACUGGGAUAGCCAGCCGAAAGGCUGAGUAAUACCAGAUGUGGCCCUUUGAGGACAUCCUCGAAGGAUUAAACGGUUUUUCGCUUCAGGAGCGGUUUAUGGCCUAUCAGCUAGUUGGUGGGGUAAUGGCCUACCAAGGCGACGACGGGUAGGGGGUCUGAGAGGAUGAUCCCCCCGAGUGGGACUGAGACACGGCCCACACACCUACGGGUGGCAGCAGUUUGGAAUCUUGCCCAAUGGGGGAAACCCUGAGGCAGCGACGCCGCGUGGAGGAUGAAGGAUCUAGGUCUGUAAACUCCUUUUAUCGGGAAAGACUUAGGACGGUACCCGAUGAAUAAGCACCGGCUAACUACGUGCCAGCAGCCGCGGUAAGACGUAGGGUGCAAGCGUUGUCCGGAUUUACUGGGCGUAAAGGACGCGUAGGCGGUCCGUUAAGUGUGAAGUGAAAUCUCCAGGGCUCAACCCGGAAACUGCUUUACAUACUGGCGGACUGGAGGGAUGCAGAGGUAAGUAGAAUUCCUGGUGUAGCGGUGAAAUGCGUUGAUAUCAGGAGGAAUACCGAUGGCGAAGGCAGCUUACUGGGCAUCAUCUGACGCUGAGGCGUGAAAGCGUGGGUAGCAAACAGGAUUAGAUACCCUGGUAGUCCACGCCCUAAACGAUGGAUACUAGACGUAAGAGGUAUCGACCCCUCUUGUGUCGCAGUUAACGCACUAAGUAUCCCGCC
rnacentral:rRNA from 1 species